rnacentral:rRNA from 1 species
AUUGAACGCUGGUGGCAUGCCUUACACAUGCAAGUUGAACGGUAACAGGUCUUCGGAUGCUGACGAGUGGCGAACGGGUGAGUAAUACAUCGGAACGUGCCUAGUAGUGGGGGAUAACUACUCGAAAGAGUGGCUAAUACCGCAUGAGAUCUACGGAUGAAAGCAGGGGAUCGCAAGCCCUUGUGCUACUAGAGCGGCCGAUGGCAGAUUAGGUAGUUGGUGGGAUAAAAGCUUACCAAGCCGACGAUCUGUAGCUGGUCUGAGAGGACGAUCAGCCACACUGGGACUGAGACACGGCCCAGACUCCUACGGGAGGCAGCAGUGGGGAAUUUUGGACAAUGGGCGCAAGCCUGAUCCAGCAAUGCCGCGUGCAGGAUGAAGGCCUUCGGGUUGUAAACUGCUUUUGUACGGAACGAAAAGCCCCGGGUUAAUACCCUGGGGUCAUGACGGUACCGUAAGAAUAAGCACCGGCUAACUACGUGCCAGCAGCCGCCGUAA